rnacentral:rRNA from 1 species
UACGGAGGGUGCUAGCGUUGUUCGGAAUUACUGGGCGUAAAGGGCGCGUAGGCGGCCGUUUGCGUCGGAUGUGAAAGCCCGGGGCUCAACCUCGGAACGGCAUUCGAUACGGGACGGCUGGAGACCGGGAGAGGAGAGUGGAAUAGCCAGUGUAGAGGUGAAAUUCGUAGAUAUUCGCAAGAACACCAGUGGCGAAGGCGGCUCACUGGCCCGAUACUGACGCUGAGGCACGAAAGCGUGGGGAGCAAACAGG